UAUUAGCUAUUAGAAGAUUUAGGGCUUGUUUGAUCAUCCAUUUUGGGUAUGGAAUGGGAAUCGAUUUUAUCAAAUUCUGUUAAUUUUGUUUGGUUCGCAUGAAUCGGUUUGAAAUUUUUAUUCUAGACUGGAAUGGGAAUGACCCAUUAGCCUUCAACUUGAUUCUGGUCUUCUAGCCCGGAUUGAGAUUUCAUUCCGGAAGCCCACUAAGUUUUCGAAGCCAUGUGACCAUCUCACCCUCCUUCUCUUCACCCCUUUCUCAUCAAAAAAAAAAAAAAAAAACCCCUAUUCUCUCUCAAAACCUUAUCCCUAACCCACAUCAAUAAAAAUUUUUAAAAAUAAAUUUGAUAUUUUUUUUGGAAAACUUAUUAGAGAAUAGUAUUAUAUUUUUCAUAAAUUUUAAAUAAUAUAAAUUUAUAUUUGAGAGUAAAAUUAGUAUUAUAGUAUUCUAUAAUUUUUUUAGUUUAUACGAACCAAAUAAUGAAAUGUGAAUAACUCAUUCCAAUUCUCAAUCCACAAAUAAACCAAACGUCUUGGGGGAGUGGGUCAUUCUAAUUACCAUUUCAAUUCAUUCCAAUUCCAUUAUCCAUUCCAAUUCCACCCUUGAACCAAACAAGCCCUUAGAUUGACUAUGAUGGAUUAUAAUUCUUUACAAUUUAUAACAGUAUUCUAAAAGCCUGUAUGGUUCAUAUUAUGUAGCAUUAUUACUGAUUAUCUCAACAUAAUUAGUAAUUUGACAUAUAAAAUUAUUCUGGUUGAUCCAUUUUAUAUAUUUCAGUAAUCCACGUAGUAAAAUUUAAACUAUUCCAAAAAUACCCUACACACAUAUUUAUUUGAAAUUUAAAUAUAUAGUUUGAAUUUAAGUUAAAUUUAAAUUUAGAUUUUACAUUUAAAUUAACUAUUGGUCCAAAUUUUAAAUUCAAAUUCAAAUUCAAAUUCAAAUUUUUAAUUUAAAUUAUAAAUUCAAUUUUUUGAAUUUAAAUUCAAAAAUUGAAUUCACAUUUUAAAUUUUAUUCAUAUUUUAAAUCAAACUUUAAAAUUAUAUUUAAAUUUCAAUUCAAAGAUUUUAAAUAAACACAGUUUUUAAAUUUAAAUUGACUUGAAUUCAAAUUCUCUGUAAUCCUAAUAGCAUAACCUAAACUAAAUAGGUUAGGGAUAGGCUUGACUUGUUUUACAACUUUGAAAACCUUCACAACAUAGGUUCCUAAUACACUAGACUUGUGUUUUGGUUUUGGGGAGGUAAAAUAUACAAGACAUGCUAAAAAAGAAGAAGAAAAGGGCAGUGGAGUGUCCAAGAAGAAGAAGAAGAAGAAGAAGAAGAAGAAGAAGAAGAGGAGGAGGAGGAGGAGGAGGAGGAGGAAGAAGAAGAAGAGGGACAUGAAAUGGUGCCAUGGAAGGUCAUGAAAUGAUGGAUGGGUUUUUUGAGCUUAACUGAAAAUGUGAAACAAUUAAAUUUUUAGAUUUUAGAGAUUUUAAAUAUUAAAUAUUGAGUUUUUAACUAUCUGUGUUAAAAAUGGUCAGUAAUGAUGGAUGAGUUGAAAUGACUUGAUUUAUAAUUAUUAGAUUUUUACAAAAUAAGCACGAUAGUAUUCUAGUUUGUAUUUCGAUACGAUUUAAAUACAAAUAAAUAAUGUAGCUGAAAUCGAAAUGGUCACACUUUUUAUUUUUUUCUGGUCCCAAAAUCAAAAUUAUUUCCAUUUAAUACUAUUAUUAUUAUUUUCUAGGAUUCAAGCUUAGAGAUGUCAACCGGUCGGAUUUGGGACGGAUUUUUAAAAACCCGAACCCGAACCCGACUCCAAACCCGAGACCCGAACCCGAACCCGAACCCGAACCCAACGGAUUUUAAAAAUCCAUAUCUAAACCCGAACCCAAUCAAAAAUCCGAAAUCCGAACCCGAACCCGAACACAAAAAUUUGAACCCGAAAUAAUUAUUUCUUUUUUCAAUAUUUCAAAAUAUAUUAUAUUAAAUUUAAAAUUUUAAAAUACAAAUCCAAAUAUAACAUCAAAUAUAUAUAUAUAUAUUAUAUAUAAUACAAAAUAAAUUUGGGUUCGGGUCGGAUUCAGGUCGGGUCGGGUACAAUCAAAAUCCAUAUCCGAAUCCAUAUCCGUUGGAUUUUUAUUUUUUAUAUUCAUAUCCAUAUCCAUCGAAUAUAUCCAUUUUAUUCUGAUUCGAAUUCGAAUAAAAUUUCGGAUAUCUAUAUUCAUUGACAUUCCUAUUCAAGCUCUCUUAAAAUUU
rnacentral:lncRNA from 1 species